GGAUUGUGGCUCAGUGAUAGAGUGCUUGCCUUGCAUGUUGAGGCACUGGGUUCGAUCCUCAGCACCA
rnacentral:tRNA from 1 species